rnacentral:rRNA from 1 species
AUUCCCCUAGUAACUGCGAGUGAAGCGGGAAAAGCUCAAAUUUAAAAUCUGGUGGUCUUUGGCCAUCCGAGUUGUAAUUUAGAGAAGCGUCUUCCGCGCCGGGCCGUGCACAAGUCUCCUGGAAUGGAGCGUCAUAGAGGGUGAGAAUCCCGUCUUUGGCACGGAUGUACCGGGGCUUUUGUGAUGCGCUCUCGAAGAGUCGAGUUGUUUGGGAAUGCAGCUCAAAAUGGGUGGUGAACUCCAUCUAAAGCUAAAUAUUGGCGAGAGACCGAUAGCGAACAAGUACCGUGAGGGAAAGAUGAAAAGCACUUUGGAAAGAGAGUGAAACAGUACGUGAAAUUGUUGAAAGGGAAACGCUUGAAGUCAGUCGCGUCGACCGAGACUCAGCCUCGCCUCGGCUUGGUGUACUUCUCGGCUGACGGGUCAGCAUCAAUUUUGCCCCUUGGAUAAUGGCGAGGGAAAUGUGACACCUUUGCGGUGUGUUAUAGUCUCUCGUCGCAUGCAAGGGUCGGGAUUGAGGAACUCAGCACGCGCCUUUGGGCGUCGGGGCUUUGCCCACGAUACGUGCUUAGGAUGCUGGCGUAAUGGCUUUAAACGACCCGUCUUGAAACACGGACCAAGGAGUCUAACAUGCCUGCGAGUGUUCGGGUGGAAAACCCGUGCGCGCAAUGAAAGUGAAAGUUGGGACCUCUGUCGUGGAGGGCACCGACGCCCGGACCAGACCUUCUGUGACGGUUCUGCGGUAGAGCAUGUAUGUUAGGACCCGAAAGAUGGUGAACUAUGCCUGAAUAGGGUGAAGCCAGAGGAAACUCUGGUGGAGGCUCGUAGCGAUUCUGACGUGCAAAUCGAUCGUCAAAUUUGGGUAUAGGGGCGAAAGAC